rnacentral:rRNA from 1 species
CUGCUGCCUUCCGUAGGAGUCUGGGCCGUGUCUCAGUCCCAAUGUGGCCGUCCACCCUCUCAGGCCGGCUACUGAUCGUCGCCUUGGUGGGCCGUUACCCCGCCAACAAGCUAAUCAGACGCGGGUCCAUCUUAUACCACCGGAGUUUUUCACACUGGGCCAUGCAGCCCCGUGCGCUUAUGCGGUAUUAGCACCUAUUUCUAAGUGUUAUCCCCCUGUAUAAGGCAGGUUACCCACGCGUUACUCACCCGUCCGCCACUAAG